UAAUACAGAGGUCUCAAGCGUUAUUCGGAAUCACUGGGCGUAAAGAGUACGUAGGCGGUAGAGUAAGUCUGAUGUGAAAUGCGGGAGCUUAACUUCCGAACGGCAUUGGAUACUGCUUUACUAGAGCAAUGGAGGGGAAACCGGAAUUCUCGGUGUAGCAGUGAAAUGCGUAGAUAUCGAGAGGAACACUCGUGGCGAAGGCGGGUUUCUGGACAUUAGCUGACGCUGAGGUACGAAGGCCAGGGGAGCGAAAGGG
rnacentral:rRNA from 1 species